rnacentral:lncRNA from 1 species
AGACUGUACAACCUGUUUUCUCAUUGCAUUCCUUGAAUUGGGAUUGCCUCAGAAUUCCAUUCCAGAUGUUUCAUCCUGUCUAGCACUUACAAUGUGCUAUGUAGAACCACUAUUCUCUAGUUUCUCUGGCACGACUACACUAAAGACCAAAUAAUAAUGAAGAUGUUUUUUCUACAUGCCCCAUAGGAAAUAUUUUUAACCUAUUAAGAAUCAAACCUGUCAUCUUCUAGCCUUAAACCUGGCCUUCCUCUCACCCUCUUAACACAUACAAUGGUAACACAACCUAUCUAGUCACCAUUCCACCAGUGGGGGCACCAAGGCCCUCUGACUACUACUCAUGCCCUACAUCCUAUUGAGUAUUACUGCCUUGUCAAAUGUUUUCAUUUCCUUCAUCUCCUAAACUAGCUUUUGCUUCUGUUUUUUAUACUUCUCAACUGAAUAACUGAAAUAGCUUCAAAAAAUUAGACCUUAGUUUCUUUCCAACUCAUUUUUUUUUUAAUAAGGUCACCAAGAUCCUUUUCCUAGAACAUGUAUCUCAUAGUAUCACUCCACACCAAAGCAGUUAAUGAUUUAUGACCACUUUCACAAAUAGUAAAAUCGAAAUCCUUAAUAUAUAUUUAGUUAUGUAUAUUUAACAUGGCCUUCUUGAUCUGGCCCCAAAUCUGACUGAUUUUCCAUGAUCCUAGGAUAUAUCCUAUGUUAAAGGGGCUCACAACAUGCCAAAUGCACACACUCUCAUACACGGCAUCCCUUGACACAUGCUUUCAGUUGAAAAGCAACUUUCUUUUUUCAUAAGGCUCUUAUUAGAAUAACUUACUAGUUUCGAAAAUAGCUGCAACUUAAAUUUAUCACCUCCUCAGUGAACUCUCCUAUUUUCCACCCCAAACGCAGUUUCUCAGAGAUCUCACAGCAAUUUAAAAAUGUGAAGCCUUAGUAUGUAUGGCAUCAGGAAAAUAACCAAGAGUUUCCAGUAUCUGGUGAGGCAAAAUUGUACAAGGCAGACUGAAGGUUCAAGCUUAGACACAGAAUGAGGAAUACAUAAUAUAAUCUGUGUGGACUUGUUAACAACAUGUUCUUUUGGCCAGAAAGUGGCAGGACUAGAGGUUCAAGCCCCAAAACCAAGCAGAACAGUAAGGCUACCUUCUCGCAGGGAUGACUAGAUUUCACAGUUUCUAAAACACAUUUUUCAUAUUUUAACAUCUCUGACCCUGAGAUGCAUCUUCCAGCUGAUGGAAGGCAUCUUAGAAAUGUGAUCAGACAGGUGGUGGUUACUAUGUAGUUGCCACUGCCUAUAUGUGCACAAAGCUGAUCCGGCUCUUUGUUCUUUGUCACUUCAAUAGAAUUACAUGCAUUGUUGGUAUUAUAGAGAAUGAGUUUAAUGUCUUGAAUGCCUUUAAAAAGAUAAUAUCAUGAAUUAUUACUGAAGCAAAAGUUACUGUAUGUGUAUAACAAAUGAAAGUAGUAAACUAUAGUUUAUUAUUGGGGAAGCAAAUGUUUACUACCGAAAUAAUGGUGAGAAUUCCAUAUUUUUGCCAAGAAACAACCGUGACUUUAAAAAUGGGAAGAUGUCCCAAUAUCCCAAGUAGACGAACCUUUGCUAAUUUCUGUUCUGAAAAACUAUUACAAACCAAGAAAUACACCCGAAGGCAAGAGCAAUUGCCGAAUUCUUUAGAAGGGAGGAAGAAUGCAAAAGUAUUAAGAAGCUGGUGUGCACAAUUCCACUAUUACACAAAAAUAUCAUAUUAUUUCAUAAUUAAAUUGACUUCUUUCUUAGUGUUACAGCUUAAAAUUAAUAAUGUCUAGAUUAAAUGAAUAAUGGUAAAAAUCUCCAUAAAACUUAUGUUACCUUAGCAUGAAGGGAGGUAUAGAGAUUCUUCAAUUAAUACCGUUUAAAUUUUGAAUUGACAAUUUUUAAGCUGUAAAUAACUACUGAAAUUAACAAAUUUAAGUUAGAAUUUAAGAUCUAAAAAACCCUAAGAACAUUAUAUCCUUGCUAAACCACAUUCUAUGGCAGUGACAUGUAGAACAAGUACAGACAAAUUUAUUUCAAAUAUAGUCUCAUGUGAAGACAGGUAUCAGUAACCACAAUACCUAAUGCCUUGAUUUAUUUAAAAUAGGGUAUGCAACCUAUUGGUUU